rnacentral:lncRNA from 1 species
GGCAAAUUAUGACCAAGGAAAUAAAUAAGGGAUACACAAGAUAAUACAACGCCGAGACAAACCAAAAUGUUUAGGGACAUGACAGGGCAUUUGGAAAUGCAUACGGCAUCUGCCAUCAUCAUCAGAUAAAUUUCAACAACAAAACAGAAACAGAAAUAUAGUGUUCAGCCCAGGUCCCAUCAAUAUCAGAUUGGUACAUCACAAGUUCACAACCAUCCUUAUUGGAAGCAAAACAGAACAGAGGCAACCUAGGUUUGGAGGCAGACCUGGGGCGCGCGCUCGCGGAUCACUCGGACAGGGCUUCGGCGGAGGCGGAGGCGGCGGAGAGCUCCUGCUGCUGGAGGCGCUCGAGCGCCUUGUGGUGCGCCCAGGUCUCGAGGGUGAGGUCGGGCUUGGCGUUGAGCCCGACGCCGAGGAUGACGACGGUGAGGAAGGAGGUGACGUAGCAGGGGAGCUCCCAGUCCUCCC